rnacentral:rRNA from 1 species
UGAGGAAUAUUGGGUCAAUGGGCGAGAGCCUGAACCAGCCAAGUAGCGUGCAGGACGACGGCCCUAUGGGUUGUAAACUGCUUUUAUACGGGAAUAAAGUGAUGCCUGCGGGCGUUAUUGCAUGUACCGUACGAAUAAGGACCGGCUAAUUCCGUGCCAGCAGCCGCGGUAAUACGGAAGGUCCGGGCGUUAUCCGGAUUUAUUGGGUUUAAAGGGAGCGUAGGCUGUCCUUUAAGCGUGUUGUGAAAUGUAGGCGCUCAACGCCUGCACUGCAGCGCGAACUGAAGGACUUGAGUGUGCACGACGCUGGCGGAAUUCGUGGUGUAGCGGUGAAAUGCUUAGAUAUCACGAAGAA